GAGAAGGAGUCAGCAGAGGAUCUGCUGGCAAGGCUUACGCUGCAGGAGGAGGAAGAAGAUGACUUCAUCUGGGAGGAAGAGCUGUCAGACAUGCUGGAGCCGGCGAAGUGGCUUGCCAUCGUUCGAGUCCACACACCGAAGUCUUUAAGCCCUAAUGCCCUGUACAAUGACAUGAGGGCAGCCUGGAAUCCAGCGAAAAAAGUGGACUGGAGGAAAAUCAAGGGAAAUUUGUUCACGGCACAGUUUGGCUGCUUGGGCGAUUGGAAUAAGGCUAUGGCCGAGGGACCGUGGCUGUUCAGAGAUCAGGCGGUGAUCAUGCAGGAGUAUGAUGGGUUUAAGAACCCCGAUGGCAUCAAACUGGAUAGGCUAGCCAUGUGGGCGCAGAUUCAUCGACUGCCGGACAGGUUCCUUAUCGAACCGGCGGUGUAG
rnacentral:rRNA from 1 species